rnacentral:rRNA from 1 species
AGAGUUUGAUCAUGGCUCAGAACGAACGCUGGCAGCGUGGAUUAGGCAUGCAAGUCGAACGGGAUCACCCCGGUAGCAAUACUGGGGCGUGAGAGUGGCGGAAGGGCGAGUAAGGCAUGGGCAACCUGCCCCCUGACCGGGGAUAACCCGGCGAAAGCCGGGCUAAUACCGGAUGCGGCCCCGGGAGGCAUCUCCCGGGUGCUAAAGGCGGGGAUCCGCAAGGACCUGCCGUCAGGGGAGGGGCCCGUGUGCCAUCAGCUUGUUGGUGGGGUAACGGCUCACCAAGGCAUACGGCUAGCUGGUCUGAGAGGACGACCAGCCGCACUGGGACUGAGACACGGCCCAGACUCCUACGGGAGGCAGCAGUGAGGAAUAUUGGACAAUGGAUGGAAAUCUGAUCCAGCCAUGCCGCGUGCAGGAAGACGGCCUUAUGGGUUGUAAACUGCUUUUAUACGGGAGCAAUAAGGGUUACGAGUAAUCCGAUGAGAGUACUGUAUGAAUAAGGAUCGGCUAACUCCGUGCCAGCAGCCGCGGUAAUACGGAGGAUCCGAGCGUUAUCCGGAAUUAUUGGGUUUAAAGGGUGCGUAGGCGGCCAUUUAAGUCAGCGGUGAAAUUUUGCAGCUUAACUGUAACAGUGCCGUUGAUACUGUUUGGCUAGGAUUUGGUUGCAGUGUGCGGAAUGUGUGGUGUAGCGGUGAAAUGCUUAGAUAUCACACAGAACACCGAUUGCGAAGGCAGCACACUAAGUCAUUAUUGACGCUGAGGCACGAAAGUGUGGGGAUCAAACAGGAUUAGAUACCCUGGUAGUCCACACUGUAAACGAUGAUAACUCGCUGUCGGCGAUACACAGUCGGUGGCCAAGCGAAAGCAUUAAGUUAUCCACCUGGGGAGUACGACCGCAAGGUUGAAACUCAAAUGAAUUGACGG